GAUGAACGCUAGCGGCAGGCCUAAUACAUGCAAGACGAACGGUAAGAUUUUUAGCAAUAAGAGUCCUAGAGUGUCGUAAGGGUGCGUAACACGUAUGCAAUCUGCCCUGUACAGGGGGAUAGCUCCCCGAAAGGGGAAUUAAUACUCCGUGAUAUCAUUGAAUGGCAUCAUUUGAUGAUUAAAGCUGAGGCGGUACAGGAUGAGCAUGCGCAUGAUUAGUUAGUUGGCGGGGUAACGGCCCACCAAGACGAUGAUCAUUAGGGGAACUGAGAGGUUGAUCCCCCACACUGGCACUGAGAUACGGGCCAGACUCCUACGGGAGGCAGCAGUAGGGAAUAUUGGACAAUGGGUGCGAGCCUGAUCCAGCCAUGCCGCGUGCAGGAAGACGGCCUUCUGGGUUGUAAACUGCUUUUGCCAGGGGAUAAAACGGCUCUGCGGAGCUAAUUGAAGGUACCUGGUGAAUAAGCCACGGCUAACUACGUGCCAGCCGCCGCGGUAAGAC
rnacentral:rRNA from 1 species